UGCAAGCCGGAUGGAUACACACGG
rnacentral:piRNA from 1 species